rnacentral:rRNA from 1 species
UACGUAGGGUGCGAGCGUUGUCCGGAAUUAUUGGGCGUAAAGGGCUCGUAGGCGGUCUGUUGCGUCGGGAGUGAAAACUCAGGGCUUAACCCUGAGCCUGCUUCCGAUACGGGCAGACUAGAGGUAUGCAGGGGAGAACGGAAUUCCUGGUGUAGCGGUGAAAUGCGUAGAUAUCUGGAGGAACACCGGUGGCGAAGGCGGCAUCCUGGACCAAUAUUGACGCUGAGGAGCGAAAGCCAGGGGAGCAAACGGG